rnacentral:rRNA from 1 species
AUACGGAGGAUCCGAGCGUUAUCCGGAUUUAUUGGGUUUAAAGGGUGCGCAGGCGGGAGAUUAAGUCGGCGGUGAAAUUUUGCAGCUCAACUGUAAAAGUGCCUUCGAAACUGGUUUCCUUGAGUGUAGAUGAAGUAGGCGGAAUUUGUGGUGUAGCGGUGAAAUGCAUAGAUAUAACGAGGAACUCCGAUUGCGCAGGCAGCUUACUAAACUACUACUGACGCUCAGGCACGAAGGCGUGGGGAUCAAACAGGAUUAGAUACCCUGGUAGUCCACGCAGUAAACGAUGAUUACUAGCUGUUUGCGAUACAAUGUAAGCGGCUGAGCGAAAGCGUUAAGUAAUCCACCUGGGGAGUACGUUCGCAAGAAUGAAACUCAAAUGAAUUGACGGGG